GGCCAAUAGAGAGAGGAGAUGCCACAAUGGAUAGCCUGCUGCAGUGCUGGGGAUGGGACUAGAGGACUGGAUUUGGAGGAGAAGAGGGAGAAUCAAGCUCUGAAGUUCACCUAUUUGCUUGCCUAGCCUACUUGCUUCUUCGACAGGCUUGCCUGGAGGGUUUCUAAAGAAUAUCUGCUGGAGUCAGAGAACUGGAUAAUAGAAUGUGUGAGGAGGCUGGUUGGAGGAGAAUAUCUUCUUGAUCUGUUGGAGAUGCAGUAUUGCAGCAUCCUUCACAGAGCUUGGGAACACUGCAGAAGAAGGGGAGGAAGCAGAGGCAGGACAUAGAGGGGUAGAGGACACCAAGAGGAUGCAACCCACAGAAUCAGUAGUUCAGUGGCUCUUCACUACCUAAAGGCAAGAUAUUCCAUGAAAGCUGCAAUCGUCGAGAAAGGCUGAAGAAGCUAGGUUGCUAUGUCAGAGAAGCGUGCCAGCAGUGAGAACAACAGGGUAGAGGAAUUCAUCAACAAGGAAGGAAGGCAGCCAAGCAAUCUACUUUGCUCUUCCUGAGAACUGCUGAUAUCUGGUCUACCCUAGGGCAGAACUGCAGUAGCUAUGUUUUUACCAUGUUCUGAUGAAACUAACUCUGUCUCUGAACAAACUUGGAUAGCAGCAGCAGCAACAACAACAACAAAGCAAAAUGGUA
rnacentral:lncRNA from 1 species